rnacentral:rRNA from 1 species
UACGUAGGGACCUAGCGUUGUCCGGAUUCAUUGGGCGUAAAGGGUGCGUAGGCGGCUUUCUAAGUCGGAUGUGAAAACUCUGGGCUCAACCCAGAGCCUGCAUCUGAAACUGGAGAGCUAGGGUUUUGGAGGGGAAAGCGGAAUUCCAGGUGUAGCGGUGAAAUGCGUAGAUAUCUGGAGGAACACCGGUGGCGAAGGCGGCUUUCUGGACAAAUACCGACGCUGAGGCACGAAAGCUAGGGGAGCAAACAGG